rnacentral:tRNA from 1 species
UGCAGGAUAGGCUAAAUUUUUAAAGCUGCUAGGCUCAUAACUUAGUGAUGGAUUAUUUCCUUUUGUAU